rnacentral:lncRNA from 1 species
UUUAUGUUGUUCGCAGUGCACCUUUGCAUCAGAAAGGGGAGGCUUGGGACGAGUGUGUGAUUUGUUUAUCAUUGUUCUUUUCAGCUUCGCGUUACUGCAUAAUCAUCUCUCCUAUUCCAUUAACUAUUUGAAGAUGAACAGCUCUUUAAGUCAACUUUCUCCAGAAAUGAAGCUAGCUACCUUUUCCUCACAAACUUCUUGAAGAAUCUUUUUGAAAAUAGUAUUAUUCCUUGAUUUGAAAAGAUAUUCUCCAUUACCAUAUUUUACUUGAUGGAUUGUCACUAACCAUAGCACUGCUUUAUGUAAUAUAUAUAUAUAUAUAUAAGAACUUCAAUUCAAAGAUAAUUCUCAAAGCAUUUUUAAGGACUUGAUUUUCAUGAAAUCAUAAUGUUCAUUUUCAGCGUCCAACUAAAAUCACAAAUUAUCACACUAUUUUUAAUACAUCUGAAAGAGCAGUCCAUCUUUUAAACUAUAGUUCACACAAAUAAACUUCACCUACAAUUUUGCACAAUAAUUUCCUGACUUUUUGAAGCUAAAUAUUGUACUAGAUGGCAUCCAUUAGUAAAUCAGGAGCAUGAAUGCAUGCGCUUAACAUAAAUCAAGAAAAGGAGGGGCAUGAAAAAGGUAG